UCCCUUCCAUGUACUGAGCCUCUGCGUGGCGAAAGGGAUCAACAGACGAAGGUCUGGCUAAUCAGUA
rnacentral:ribozyme from 1 species